CCGACAGCAAGUGGAACGUCCCGGGUGGCGUACCAGCAGCAGCAGUUCCUGACGCAGUAUGCAGACAUCCAAGCCCAACAACAGGAAAAGGAGCAUACAUUCCAGACUUCACUGUUACAACAGACGAUGACCCACCAGUCCAACCUGGCAAAGGACCGGAAUACUCAGCUGCAGCAAAACCAGACGUUUCAGGCGGGCUUGCUACAGAAUAUGAUGGCAUUUCAAGCGAACCUCUUCAAGAAUAUCCUUCAGGAUGAUAAAAAUGAUGAAAAGUGAUGGUCUGGUGUGUGAAGAUUCAAACACAACAGCGUUUGCACAAGCAUCCGUUCAGUCACAGCUUGAUGGCGACGAUAUGUGCACAGAGUGUAGAGUAAUGCCCUAGGUUUUCUUCCUUCACAUUACACAUUGGCGUGCAUGCACAAAAUUACUGCUGCUUAUUCUAUUCUCCUGUUCUUAUGUAGUUGUUUUUCAAUAUUAUCGCUGGUAUCCCAUGUCAAGGACAAUGCUCAGUUGAACGUUUAGUCAGGCUGUCCCGGUACUCUUGAUACAGCAUACCUGCAGUAUCACGUGUCUAUACUCUAUACUACUUGUUCAUAUUGCUGUUUUAUGGUCAAUUCAGAAAGGUCAUCGGUCAUAAAUGUGUCGUUACAUUACAUUGUAGUACCAACUUGGUAUGUCUAGCAAAACAAUAUUGUGAUCAUCAUA